rnacentral:rRNA from 1 species
UACGGGGGGAGCAAGCGUUGUUCGGAUUUACUGGGCGUAAAGGGCGCGUAGGCGGCCACCGCAAGUCGACUGUGAAAUCUCCGGGCUUAACCCGGAAAGGUCAGCCGAUACUGCGGGGCUAGAGUGCAGAAGGGGCAACUGGAAUUCUCGGUGUAGCGGUGAAGUGCGUAGAUAUCGAGAGGAACACCUGCGGCGAAGGCGGGUUGCUGGGCUGACACUGACGCUGAGGCGCGAAAGCUAGGGGAGCGAACGGG